AAAGGGAGCGUAGGCGGCUGAUUAAGUCAGCGGUGAAAGGUAGCAGCUUAACUGUUUUACAUGCCGUUGAUACUGGUUAGCUUGAGUUGACAGAAGGCAGAUAGAAUUCCUGGUGUAGCGGUGAAAUGCUUAGAUACCAGGAGGAAUACCGAUUGCGAAGGCAGUCUGCUGCAGUCACACUGACGCUGAGGCUCGAAGGUGCGGGGAUCAAACAGGAUUAGAUCCCGUGU
rnacentral:rRNA from 1 species